CGCUCGCAGUCGCUCUCCGAUUCUCCGACCUCGCUGCCAUGCCUCCGCCGCUGCUGAAGGCCGUGACGGUGACCCAUGUGCGCUACCAGAGGGGCGACCGGCUCGGCCACUUCCUCGCGUGGAUCUCGCUCGUCCCCGUCUUCAUCAGCCUCGGCGGCUUCGUCUCGCACUUCAUCUUCCGCCGCGAGCUGCAGGGCAUCUUCUUCUUCCUCGGCCUCCUCGUCUCCCAGUACAUCAGCGAGCACAUCAAGACCUGGGUCCAGCAGGCCCGGCCCGAGACCUGCGCGGUGCUCGAGAUGUGCGAUUCCCAUGGCUGGCCCUCCAGCCACUCUUCGUACAUGUUCUUCUUCGCCACAUACUACACUCUGCUCACGUACAGGGGGAUCGGCCUCACCGACACGAAGAACAAGCCGCUCGCGUGCUUCUUGCCGUGGUGCUUGGCGGUGCUGACGAUGUACUCUAGGGUUUAUUUGGGGUACCACACGGUCGGUCAGGUAUUUGCAGGUGCCGCGCUCGGGAGUUUGAUCGGGUGGGCUUGGUUUUGGCUGGUGAAUUCGGUGUUCUGUCGCUACUUUCCGGCGAUCGAAGAGAGCGCGUUUGGGAGGAGGUUCUACCUCAAGGACACUUCACAUAUCCCGAAUGUGUUGAAGUUCGAGUAUGACAAUGCGAGGGCUGCGAGAAAAAAACAUGGAAUGUAAGUGCAACUGAGGCCGACUGAUUGGGAAAUUAUCUCAAUAGGUGCGUUCUUCAUCGCCGCUCUACUCAUUGUUCAUGUUUCCCGAGUAGCCUUUGCCCAUAUUCUCUUAUGGAUAUGACAUUACAAGUUGCUUUUCUGUCAUUCUCUUCGUGUUUGGUGCGAACUGAUUAAGGAAGGAAGCUUAUCUUGGAAUUUUUUCUGCAUUCGUUCUGUUGAAUUUCUCGUGUCUGUUUGCACUGUGGCAACCCAAUUUAUUUUCCUAGAAAGCUGAUUCACAUGCUGAAAUAAUAACCAUUCAUAUCUUCUCUUCCCUACAUCAGCUUUUCCGGCAUAAAUUAGUGUUUUAACUUGGAGCUACUUUAGGAUUGAGCUUUUGAAUUGGUUUCAAUUGAAUCGUUUUACUUUUACCAAGCAUUCGUGAAUGAAAUAUUGUGCCAACUAGCCAUGUGGGUAGCCCGAAGUUGAAUUACUGCCUAUGUCAUUACUUGUAUGCUGCCAUUUA